rnacentral:lncRNA from 10 species
GGAGGUUACUUGAACCCGGCUGGGUGGUCAGUGAAGGUGGGAGUGAGUGGAUCAGCCCCAUUCAUUAGGGCCCUCACUGGGAUCAGAGCUUGGUUCCCCUCAGGGAGUGUCUGAGACUCCUCCCUGUGUGAUCCCUGCGGGGUGUGUGUGUGUGUGGCCAUAGGGCGGUUGUGGCCUGAGCACUUUUGCCAGCACCGCAGAUUCUUGCUGUGACACCCAGGCUGGAGUACAGUGGCGGUAUCUCAGCUCACUGCAACCUCCCACUCCUAAGUUCGAGUGAUUCUCCUGUCUCAGCCUCCCAGGUAGCUGGGAUUACAGGUGCGCAACAUCCCACCAGGCUAAUUUUUGUAUUAUUAGUAGAGACGGGGUUUUACCACGUUGGCCAGGCUGGUCUCGAACUCCUGACCUCAGGUGAUCCACCCGUGUUGGCCUCCCAAAGUGCCACUUACAGGCAUGAGCCACUUCGCCUGGUCUGAUGCAUUCACUUCUAAGUUUUUCUUUGUUUUUUUUCUUUUUGAGGCAGGGUCUCACUCUGUCACCCAGGCGGGAGUGCAGUGACAUGAUCAUAGUUCAUUGCAGCUUCAACCUCCUGGGCUGAAGCAAUUCUCACACCUCAUUUUUUGAUUUUGUUGUUGUUUUUUGUAGAGAUGGAGUCUCACUAUGUUGUCCAGGCUGGUCUCGAACUCCUGGGCUCAAGCAAGCCUCCCACCUCGGACUCCCAAAGUUUUGGGAUUACAGGUGUGAGCCACCAUGCCCGGCCUAGAAUUUUCUUUAUUGAUACAGAUUUUUAGUUAAAAUGGCAUCAAAAUGUAAAUAGGUUAUUAUAGCCUGUCUAAAGUCAAAAAUAGAUUGUGAAUAUCUUUCUAUGUCAAUGACUAUAUUUUACAAUUAUUCUUUGUA